rnacentral:rRNA from 1 species
AAGACCUUGCACUUUUGGAGCGGCCGAUGUCUGAUUAGCUAGUUGGUGGGGUAAUGGCCUACCAAAGCUUCGAUCAGUAGCUGGUCUGAAAGGACGGCCAGCCACACUGGGACUGAGACACGGCCCAGACUCCUACGGGAGGCAGCAGUGGGGAAUUUUGGACAAUGGGCGCAAGCCUGAUCCAGCCAUGCCGCGUGAGUGAAGAAGGCCUUCGGGUUGUAAAGCUCUUUCAGCCGGGAAGAAAAGGUUGCGACUAAUAAUCGCAAUUCAUGACGGUACCGAAAGAAGAAGCACCGGCUAACUACGUGCCAGCAGCCGCAGUAAUACGUAGGGUGCGAGCGUUAAUCGGAAUUACUGGGCGUAAAGGGUGCGCAGGCGGUUUUGUAAGUCAGAUGUGAAAUCCCCGGGCUUAACCUGGGAACU